rnacentral:rRNA from 1 species
GCUGCUAUACAUGCAGUCGGGCGGGGUUUUUAAAAGCUUUUUUAAAAGCCCAGCGGCGGACGGGUGAGUAACACGUGGGCAACCUGCCUGUAAGACUGGGAUAACUCCGGGAAACCGGGGCUAAUACCCGAUAUAUUUUUCCGCCGCAUGGCGGAAAAUGGAAAGAUGGCUUCGGCUAUCACUUACAGAUGGGCCCGCGGCGCAUUAGCUAGUUGGCGGGGUAACGGCCCACCAAGGCGACGAUGCGUAGCCGACCUGAGAGGGUGAUCGGCCACAUUGGGACUGAGACACGGCCCAAACUCCUACGGGAGGCAGCAGUAGGGAAUCUUCCGCAAUGGACGCAAGUCUGACGGAGCAACGCCGCGUGAGUGAAGAAGGCCUUCGGGUUGUAAAACUCUGUUGCCGGGGAAGAACAAGUGCCGUUCGAACAGGGCGGUACCUUGACGGUACCCGGCCAGAAAGCCACGGCUAACUACGUGCCAGCAGCCGCGGUAAUACGUAGGUGGCAAGCGUUGUCCGGAAUUAUUGGGCGUAAAGCGCGCGCAGGCGGCUUCUUAAGUCUGAUGUGAAAUCUUGCGGCUCAACCGCAAGCGGCCAUUGGAAACUGGGAGGCUUGAGUGCAGAAGAGGAGAGUGGAAUUCCACGUGUAGCGGUGAAAUGCGUAGAGAUGUGGAGGAACACCAGUGGCGAAGGCGGCUCUCUGGUCUGUAACUGACGCUGAGGCGCGAAA